GCAAAUCAAAUUCCCAAGAAAGAAGAUUGCUUUUGUAAUAACAUAGAAUCACAGUUGCUGGCAGCUGUUGCAAAUGAUUCUAGGCAAUUUACCUCACUCGAGACGUUUCCCCAACAUCAAGGUAAUCAGGGUCAGUGAGAUAUAAUCUGGUAACAAUUCUAACAGGUUUCCCAUCCUGGACCAAAAAAACCACAGUCCCAGGGGACAUGCAGAUUGCUUGCUGUGCUUUGGCAUUCACUCCUAACACUUAGCUGAAAAUCUUGCAUCUGUUUUUUGGUUGGGUCUUUUUUUGUUUGUUUUUUAUUAAACUAAGAGCAUUGAUUCAAACAUUUAAGCAAAGUUUCAGCCUGAGACAGUUUGCACCCAAGAAGAUCAAUAAAGCACAGCAGCACUUGAGGCAGGACCCUGCUGAUUGCUCUCCUGGAUGGAAACAAGGAUUUGUGGGGGUCCUGUAGAAGCUUUGCCUAACAUCAACACCCACUGGGACUUUGUAAAGAUAAUCUCAGUUUUAAGAACAAAAACCAGCCUUCAAAAUGUGACUGAAGUGGAGAGAAUGAGUGGAAAGAAAAGAGAGCACUUCUGCUGCAGACAAAACUCUGCCUCUUUCUCUCCUCCAAGCAUACAUGGAGACUGCACAUAAAAUGAUGGCAGCUAAGAGUGUCCUAUAAACAUUAGUCCCUAAAAGCUUUGUGCCAUAUGAAUAAGUCACAGUAACGGCAGACACCUUCUGAUUGCACCUGGAGUGGAGACAAGAUGGAAAAUUUCCAACACAUGUUCAAAUACUGAAGUUGAGCUUUCUACAUUUAAACCUCUCUCUGAAUGCAGGGGUAUUUGAUGUAGCACUGACUACAGCAGUAAGAAGAAUGAAACUGGUCAUUUUGGCCCAGCAUGAAGCAGGAAAUCAUCCACUGCCAUGCACAAGAGGGAAGAGAGAUUGUCUCUCCCUUCUGCACCAGCUGCAGAGAUCUUUCCAGAAUUUGGGAGAUACCUUCAUCUGUCUGCCUGUCUACCUAUUCCUGCAGCAGGGCAGACCCAGUGGCUGUCUGAGCCACCGUGUGGUUAGCACUGUCAGGAGAACCCAGUGCCCCAGGCGGGCACAAGAGGGGCAGCAAGAGACAAUCAAGUUCAUUUCUACUAAACCAGCUUUGCAAACCAGUUGAUGAACAAGGAGAUUAGAUCUCGAUGCUACCAGGGUAUCAGUGUGAUGGAUCAAUGGAUCACAGAAUUGUUUAGGUUGGAAAAGACCCUUAAGAUCAUUGAGUCCACCAGUUAACCUAGCACUGCCAAGUCCACCACUAAACCCAUGUCUCUAAGCACCACUUAAUGGCUCAAAACAAGGAAAUGAGAGUAAUGAGAAGGUGUUUUCU